UGCCAGCUUGCUGGUGGAUUAGUGGCGAACGGGUGAGUAACACGUGAGUAACCUGCCCUUGACUCUGGGAUAAGCCUGGGAAACUGGGUCUAAUACCGGAUAUGACUCCUCAUCGCAUGGUGGGGGGUGGAAAGCUUUUGUGGUUUUGGAUGGACUCGCGGCCUAUCAGCUUGUUGGUGAGGUAAUGGCUCACCAAGGCGACGACGGGUAGCCGGCCUGAGAGGGUGACCGGCCACACUGGGACUGAGACACGGCCCAGACUCCUACGGGAGGCAGCAGUGGGGAAUAUUGCACAAUGGGCGGAAGCCUGAUGCAGCGACGCCGCGUGAGGGAUGACGGCCUUCGGGUUGUAAACCUCUUUCAGUAGGGAAGAAGCGUAAGUGACGGUACCUGCAGAAGAAGCGCCGGCUAACUACGUGCCAGCAGCCGCGGUAAUACGUAGGGCGCAAGCGUUAUCCGGAAUUAUUGGGCGUAAAGAGCUCGUAGGCGGUUUGUCGCGUCUGCCGUGAAAGUCCGGGGCUCAACUCCGGAUCUGCGGUGGGUACGGGCAGACUAGAGUGAUGUAGGGGAGGCUGGAAUUCCUGGUGUAGCGGUGAAAUGCGCAGAUAUCAGGAGGAACACCGAUGGCGAAGGCAGGUCUCUGGGCAUUAACUGACGCUGAGGAGCGAAAGCAUGGGGAGCGAACAGGAUUAGAUACCCUGGUAGUCCAUGCCGUAAACGUUGGGCACUAGGUGUGGGGG
rnacentral:rRNA from 1 species